rnacentral:lncRNA from 1 species
UGUAGAGGUGCUGCUUUCUUUAUUUUCAGUGUUCUUUGGUUGAAUAUGGUAGAAAUUGUGAAGACAGUAAAGAGACUCUAAAAUGUGUUGUGUUUGGUAUUUGAUAAAAGCAGAACCAUUAUCUGCAUUUAUGGGUGAAGUCAGAAUGUAUUUACAUGGCUCAGGAUAAAGUAUGCCAAUGCUGCCAUCUAGUGGAGAAUACAAGCAUUGCUCUAAUUUCUGGUAGUCUGCACACCGCUGAGAAAUACUAGACAAUACCUUAAAGCGGAUUAUAGACCUUGCAUGACAAAAAAUUAAGACAUAACAUACUACGUACACGCCUUACUUUAUUAAUUUGCAUUACAACCAGGAAGUCUGAAAUGUGACAAAAGAAUCCAAAUAGAUACCUUAACAGUUUGCUGUCAUUUUACAUCUCCCGCACUGCAUUUCCUCAUUGCCUUCAAAACCAUGACAAAAUCUUGGCAAAAUAAAGCGAAUAAAGACAAAGCAAACUUGUCUCGGCUCACUUUGGAUUUCUCACUCCUGAAAAUAAGGCUUACUUUGUAUCAAUCACCCGAUCAGUGCCCUUAAAUUGUGCGUUAACGUGACAGGCUACAGAGUAAAGACUGGGAAACCACAGAAUGCCACAGGGGCCUGGUGUGUAUACUGUGUUGUCUAUGUACGUUGUAUGGGUGGACAACCUGGACUCAUUUAGGAUACCCCAUAUAUAGAAGGAUGGAGGAGUGGGGAGCCAGGACUACAUUUGAGUGUCCCCUUGGCAGUAGGGUGCAGGACAAGGGUGUCCAGGACUACAUGGGAGAGCCCUCCCUUAGUUGCUGGCUUUGACAGCCUCAAUCUUGCCAUCCUGCUGUUUGAGACGGUAGUCAUUCAGGGCAGCUUUGAUGGCAUCCUCU